rnacentral:rRNA from 1 species
GGUUGCGAUCAUACCAGCGUUAAUGCACCGGAUCCCAUCCGAACUCCGCAGUUAAGUGUGUGACCUCUUGGGAAGUCCUGGUGUUGCACCCU